UUACCUCCUCGAAAGAUGGGUCACCCUCGA
rnacentral:sRNA from 1 species